UCAUUAACAUAGAUUUACACUUUAUUUUAAAUUUGCAUCCUGAGAUAAUAAAAUUUUAUCUGACAAGUGAACAAUGACAGAAGCAGCAGUGAAAGUUUCGGAGAGGCAGGUAUCCUUCAUUUUGGCACAGCUGUAUAUAGAUUGAGUUUUUCCAGGGAAGUCAUUCCUGGACUCAAGGGAGAAAAAAUGAAUUCAUUCCACAGGCUAUGUAACAAUGCAAGAUGCAUGAAAGUUCUUAGUUUGGAUGAACAUAUCCGCUAUUAUUCUUUUCUGGUAAAGCUGUCCCAACAGGAAUCCUCUGACAAAAAGUUGAAAUCCUAGGCUUCUCCACCAGAUAUUUUUAUCAAUGCCCACUCUCUAGUUACCUGGAUAUCCUGUUCUUGCAGCCAGAUUCAUAUUUGUAUGUGGUUAGUCCAAGGAGGGCAAAUUCGCUCGUAGAUUAUAUACUUUCAAACACUUGUUACUUGUUUCAAAGUCCAGGCAUUAAAACAAUUUUACACUAUUUGCGUACUAGAAAAAAUGGAAAAUAAAAAGUCGAGAUAAAAACAAAGAAAUAAAAGAACAUUUGAGAAAUUAUUGCCUUGAUUCAUCAUGUUGAAUUUAUACACAGAACUACUUUAAGAGUCAGAAAUUGAUAUUUAGUCCAAUGCUAGAAUAUGACAUUAUAACAUUUUCCACAUUUGUAAUCCUAUAUGUGUGUGUAUGUAUGAGCAACAUGUACACACCUAAAUAAAUUAGGCCAGUGAUAUUCUAAAACAGAAAAAAAACUGAAGGCAAAUUCUAACCUGAAGUUAUAUAGCCUAAUAUAGCCAAAACACACAAACACACACAUUUCAUUAUUUAGAGACUAGGUAAGCAAUCUGUGGAGGGGGUCAAAUAAUCUUAGUUCCUUUAUAAAAGUGGUUCCCAACAUUUUCACCAUAAGAAUCCCUUCAUUAUUCUUUUCCCAUGUUCCCAAGUAUUUAAUAAGUUGCACAUAAUAGGAUUUCUUAUUUUAUUAUUAAUCAAAAACAUACUGCCAUUCACAGCUUUUGAGAGAAUAUAGGCAAAAUGAAUGGAAAUUCAAUGUCUUAAUUGACUUGUGAAGCAGGAAUAUUAUGGGUAAAUGUAUAAUUUCUAAUAUACUUUUUGAAAUAUUACAAAAAGCUCAAGGAUACCCUCCACUGCUAUCAUCUGCUGAAGUUGGGAAUCACUGAUUUACAUCCACCUGCUUUUCCUCCCUAAGUAUGUAUUAACAUAAUACAAUUACCCACGUUUAACACAUAGGAGAUUAAUAACAAAAUUUACUAUUAAAACAAUAGACCAAGUGCAAUAGUCAUUCUGUAGGACCUGACUGAAAAAGAAAACAUAGCAUGGAUUUAAAGAAAUCUAUUUAGAAAUUAUAUAAUUAUGAUAUCCAGUAUAUCUUUCAGUCAACUUCAAAGCACACUAAUAUAUGAAAAUAUCCUCAAUUCCCCUGUGAGGUAGGUCCAGAUUAUUGUCCCCACUUCGACAAUGAGGACGUGAGGUACAGAGGAAUUAAGCAGCAGAGCCAAUAAUUAAACCAGAAGUGACUUGUAUUUGAGUCCCAUACCACUUUCCUUUCCACCUAAUUUUAUCAAUUUGUUCCAACAGAUCUUUUUGAGGGUAUGGAAUUUGAUUAGACACUAAAGUAAAUGUUGGAUAGGAUAUGAAAUCUUUACAUAAAUGCCAAAGUGGGUCCUCCAAUAUUUCCAUUGUUGUUACAGCUAAAAUUCUUGCCUGAAUACCAACUGCAUAGACAGAUUCUACACAGGCAAAGGACACAGACCUCAGUGCUCAGUUCCUAGGAAAACUACAUUUACUCUUAGCAUCACCAAGGAACUAAGGUCUAGCAAGCAUCAGGUUCUUGGAGUCUGUGUGAUAAUUAACACGUCAGCCAGUCGGCAAAUCAAACUUUUACUGCAUGCAAGAUAAGAUCAUUCAUUUUUACAUACAGAUAUAUAUCAAUUGUUUUAGUCCACAUACUACAUGAACAGGUAUUAAUAAAACCUAUUCAUUUUUAUGGAAAAUUUCCCAAUUGUUUGCUAUUUAAAGGAACCCAAAUAAUUUGACAGUUGUUGCAAAAUAUUUUUAAAGUAUACUUUUAUAGGCAUGAGAAUCUAAUUUCAAUAAAUUUGAGCACUUAUAAUCAAAUUAGCAAAAAGUAUUUCUACUAUGUGAAACUGCUCCAGUUAAUCAGGUGAAUAUAAUUUCUAUAUCCUCCUAGGUCAAUAUAGUACAUUUUAAUACAAUAUUGUUUGGGAGCUUUAUGUUCAAGUAGUGAGGUUUUAUUUUUUUAAAUGGCAGCUUAUUUGUAAACAAAAUAAAAGUGCUAAUGAUCUUUUAAAGCUUUCAUACAUUUGUUCAAAGGCUUACACGUUUUUAAACUUUAUUCAAAUUUCAUCAAAAAUGGUAGAUAAAACAGUUUGAUUGCUCAGAUAUUA
rnacentral:lncRNA from 10 species